GAGGCGCCGGGAGCGGAGCAGCGCCUUCGGGCCGCCCGGCCCUCUCCUGGCGCGGUGCCCUCCGCCUCACGGCUCGGCCCAGCCGUGCUUUGUCUCUCAUCGCCGCGGCUGAGGUGAAGUUGAUGCAGACUGUGCGUUCGGGAGGAACAAAAGCUUCUCCUUUCGUUAAUAACCGCUCCAUGAGAGAACUUCCAUCUUCCGCGCGCUGUGGAGCAGCAAGGUGUGGGAGCUCAGACAGGCGCUGUUUGAUUUCACCCUG
rnacentral:lncRNA from 1 species